GGGAGCAAAGUGGGGGAUCUUCGGACCUCACGCCAUCAGAUGAGCCCAAGCAAGAUUAGGUAGUUGGUGGGGUAAAGGCCUACCAAGCCGACGAUCUUUAGCUGGUCUGAGAGGAUGAUCAGCCACACUGGGACUGAGACCCGGCCCAGACUCCUUCGGGAGGCAGCAGUGGGGAAUAUUGGACAAUGGGGGCAACCCUGAUCCAGCCAUGCCGCGUGUGUGAAGAAGGCCUUCGGGUUGUAAAGCACUUUCAGUGGUGAGGAAGGCUUGCAAGUUAAUAGCUUGCGAGAUUGACGUUAGCCACAGAAGAAGCACCGGCUAAUUCCGUGCCAGCAGCCGCGGUAAUACGGAGGGUGCGAGCGUUAAUCGGAAUUACUGGGCGUAAAGCGCACGUAGGCGGUUUGUUAAGCAAGAUGUGAAAGCCCCGGGCUCAACCUGGGAAUUGCAUUUUGAACUGGCAGGCUAGAGUUUUGAAGAGGGUGGUAGAAUUUCCUGUGUAGCGGUGAAAUGCGUAGAUAUAGGAAGGAAUACCAGUGGCGAAGGCGGCCACCUGGUCAAAAACUGACGCUGAGGAGCGAAAGCGUGGGGAGCAAACAGGAUUAGAUACCCUGGUAGUCCACGCUGUAAACGAUGUCAACUAGUUGUUCGUUUCAUAAAUGAAGUGAGUAACGCAGCUAACGCACUAAGUUGACCGCCUGGGGAGUACGGCCGCAAGGUUAAAACUCAAAUGAAUUGACGGGGGCCCGCACAAGCGGUGGAGCAUGUGGUUUAAUUCGAUGCAACGCGAAGAACCUUACCAUCCCUUGACAUCUACAGAAGGUUUUAGAGAUAAGACUGUGCCUUCGGGAACUGUAAGACAGGUGCUGCAUGGCUGUCGUCAGCUCGUGUUGUGAGAUGUUGGGUUAAGUCCCGCAACGAGCGCAACCCCUAUCCUUAGUUGCCAGCGGUUCGGCCGGGAACUCUAGGGAGACUGCCGGUGAUAAACCGGAGGAAGGUGGGGACGACGUCAAGUCAUCAUGGCCCUUACGGGAUGGGCUACACACGUGCUACAAUGGCGCGUACAAAGGGCAGCAAGCUAGCGAUAGUGAGCGAAUCCCAGAAAGCGCGUCGUAGUCCGGAUUGGAGUCUGCAACUCGACUCCAUGAAGUCGGAAUCGCUAGUAAUCGUGAAUCAGAAUGUCACGGUGAAUACGUUCCCGGGCCUUGUACACACCGCCCGUCACACCAUGGGAGUGGGCUGCACCAGAAGUAGAUAGCUUAACCUUCGGGAGGGCGUUUACCACGGUGUGGUUCAUGACUGGGGUGAAGUCGUAACAAGGUAGCCGUAGGGGAACCUGCGGCUGGAUCACCUCCUUUCUA
rnacentral:rRNA from 1 species